GAGUUUGAUCCUGGCUCAGAUUGAACGCUGGCGGCAUGCCUUACACAUGCAAGUCGAACGGCAGCACGGGAGCUUGCUCCUGGUGGCGAGUGGCGAACGGGUGAGUAAUGCAUCGGAACGUAUCCUGGAGUGGGGGAUAACGUAGCGAAAGUUACGCUAAUACCGCAUAUUCUGUGAGCAGGAAAGCGGGGGGACCUUCGGGCCUCGCGCUCUUGGAGCGGCCGAUGUCGGAUUAGCUAGUUGGUGAGGUAAAGGCUCACCAAGGCGACGAUCCGUAGCAGGUCUGAGAGGAUGAUCUGCCACACUGGAACUGAGACACGGUCCAGACUCCUACGGGAGGCAGCAGUGGGGAAUUUUGGGACAAUGGGGGCAACCCUGAUCCAGCCAUGCCGCGCGAGUGAAGAAGGCCUCGGUG
rnacentral:rRNA from 1 species